GACGAACGCUGGCGGCGCGCCUAACACAUGCAAGUCGAACGGAGAUGAUAAAAGCUUGCUUUGAUCAUCUUAGUGGCGGACGGGUGAGUAACACGUGAGCAACCUGCCUUUCAGAGGGGGAUAACGUUUGGAAACGAACGCUAAUACCGCAUAACGUGUACGGAUGGCAUCAACUGUAUACCAAAGGAGCAAUCCGCUGAAAGAUGGGCUCGCGUCCGAUUAGCUAGAUGGUGAGGUAACGGCUCACCAAGACGAUGAUGGGUAGCCGGCCUGAGAGGGCGAACGGCCACAAGGGGACUGAGACACGGCCCUU
rnacentral:rRNA from 1 species